AUCCUGGCUUAGGACGAACGCUGGCGGCGUGCCUAAUACAUGCAAGUCGAACGGUCUUUCUAUGGAAGCUUGCUUCACUGAGAAGAUAGUGGCGAACGGGUGAGUAACACGUGGGUAACCUGCCCAUAAGAGGGGGAUAACAUCCGGAAACGGGUGCUAAUACCGCAUAGUUUUCUUGAUCGCAUGAUCGGGAAAGGAAAGACGGCCUUUGUGCUGUCGCUUAUGGAUGGACCCGCGGCGUAUUAGUUAGUUGGUGAGGUAACGGCUCACCAAGACGAUGAUACGUAGCCGACCUGAGAGGGUGAUCGGCCACAUUGGGACUGAGACACGGCCCAAACUCCUACGGGAGGCAGCAGUAGGGAAUCUUCCGCAAUGGACGAAAGUCUGACGGAGCAACGCCGCGUGAGUGAAGAAAGGUUUUCGGAUCGUAAAACUCUGUUGCCAGAGAAGAACAAGUUGGAGAGUAACUGCUCCAGCCUUGACGGUAUCUGACCAGAAAGCCACGGCUAACUACGUGCCAGCCGCUGC
rnacentral:rRNA from 1 species